GAGAGAGCGUCGGGAUCGCGCUCGGUAGUCUGUGCAGUGGCGGACUUAGAGGGUGCUUGGGUUCUGUGUGGCAACUUGGAAGGAUGGCUCAAGCAAGAUCAGCAUUCUCUAACUUGUUUGGUGGAGAACCGUUGUCAUAUACCCGAUUUAGUUUGGCUCGGCAAGUAGAUGGCGAUAACAGUCACGUGGAGAUGAAACUAGCUGUAGAUGAAGAAGAAAAUGUUGACAAUAACAUGAGGCCCAUUGUCACAAAACCAAAAAAGUUUAAUGGAACUGUUUGCUAUGCAACUAUUGCUAUAAUCAUCUUUUUUGUGAUUGG